UCGCUAGUGGCUCAGAUGGUAAAGCGUCUGCCUGCAAUGCGGGAGACCCAGGUUCGAUUCCUGGGUUGGGAA
rfam:TPA: Bos taurus chromosome 19, whole genome shotgun sequence.